rnacentral:rRNA from 1 species
UACGGAGGGGGCUAGCGCUGUUCGGAAUUACUGGGCGUAAAGCGCGCGUAGGCGGACCUGCAAGUCGGGGGUGAAAGCCCGAGGCUCAACCUCGGAACUGCCUUCGAUACUGCGGGUCUCGAGUCCGGGAGAGGUGAGUGGAAUUCCUAGUGUAGAGGUGAAAUUCGUAGAUAUUAGGAAGAACACCAGUGGCGAAGGCGGCUCACUGGGACGGUACUGACGCUAAGGCGCGAAAGCGUGGGGAGCGAACAGG